UCCGGUUUGUCACCGGCAGUCUCAUUAGAGUGCCCAACUGAAUGUAGCAACUAAUGACAAGGGUUGCGCUCGUUGCGGGACUUAACCCAACAUCUCACGACACGAGCUGACGACAGCCAUGCAGCACCUGUGUGUCGGCUCCCUUUCGGGCACGCCUCCGUCUCGAGAGGCUUCCGACCAUGUCAAGGGUAGGUAAGGUGGGGAUGACGUUCGUCUGAC
rnacentral:misc_RNA from 1 species